GGACCCGCACAAGUAGUGGAGCAUGUGGUUUAAUUCGAAGAUACGCGCAGAACCUUACCAACACUUGACAUGUUCGUCGCGACUCUAAGAGAUUAGAGUUUUCGGUUCGGCCGGACGAAACACAGGUGCUGCAUGGCUGUCGUCAGCUCGUGUCGUGAGAUGUUGGGUUAAGUCCCGCAACGAGCGCAACCCUCACUUUUAGUUGCCAUCAUUAAGUUGGGCACUCUAGAAGAACUGCCAGUGAUAAGCUGGAGGAAGGUGGGGAUGACGUCAAGUCCUCAUGGCCCUUACGUGUUGGGCUACACACGUGCUACAAUGGUAUCUACAACAGGAAGCAAGACGGCGACGUCAAGCAAAUCCUAAAAAGAUAUCUCAGUUCGGAUUGCACUCUGCAACUCGAGUGCAUGAAGCUGGAAUUACUAGUAAUCG
rnacentral:rRNA from 1 species